AUCAAGUAAAGCCUCACUCCGGAGCGGCACUCGUGGGCGCGACACAACCGAGUAUGCAAGCGUGUCUCUGUCGAGCUCAAUCAGGCUUACAAAGGCUAUAGUCGAUGCAAAUGGGUCAAACUGAUCCAACAACCAAAACUCUCGUGCCCUUAGCACAAUCUGAAACAAGAUGUAAAUAUCUAGGUCCACCGCCCGUCCCGACGGCACCCGACAGUACGGAACGGUCCAAACGCUACAGUAAAACGAGCUCGACCCCCAAGCACGAGCGUAAACUCAAUCUACACUAAUCUGA
rnacentral:lncRNA from 1 species